rnacentral:lncRNA from 1 species
CCAUUGGAAUAACUACCCACUAUGCUUGAGAAUAAAAAAUAAGAUUGCAAGAAAUAAAAGAAAAGAGUGUCGGAGAUUACCUCAACUGGGCUUAUUACACCCUACACCGAGUCACCACCAUCUAAUGGCGUGGGAGCGAUGAUCUUGCUUCAAUAUCACACUGGGAAAGCAAAUUUCGGCCAAGUACACGAAUAGAACAUGAACCCCUUUGAUCACAAACUCAAACCAUAUGUGAAUUCCCAUAGCAACCUAGUUUGAGAGAUAUGGAUUCUCUUUUGCUAACCCUAAAAUCCUUAGCCAUAAAUCCAUAGUUUCGACAUGGGAGAGAGAAGAAAUUCAUAGCCAAAACCCUUAGCUCAUUUUUACAAUGUGGGAGAGAGAGAGAUCAAACAUGAGAGAGAGAAAAAGAUAAGGUAUGUAGAUAUUUUGGGUUGAGACAAUCCCUUUUUUAUAUGCUUGAACAAUAUUAGGGUUUCUUAGAGUUUUCCAUGGCUUGCAUCUUCUUUUGAGAUUGAACAUGAACUGUCAAUCAAGGGUGACUUAUGGGGUGACAGAUCUGAGUCAUCCAUUCCAUAGAUGGGCCAUCAACAUUAUAGAAUGUGCAUUAACCAUUAUCCCCAUUUUCUAAAUUAUUUUCCCAUCAAUAGAAAAUAAAUUAAAUUAAUUUUAAUUAAAUAUUGUACAUUCCAUAAAAUAACACAUCUCUACACAUAUUUUCCAUAAAAUCUAUCAAAGAUAUAUCAAGUCAAUAUCUACUUCUGUAUUAAGUCAAUAUAUGGUUAAUACAUACUCAAUCCAUAAUUUGACCACGUGUCAUAAUUUAAAGUUACCAAAACAUAAGGUCACAUGAAUCACAAAACAAAACUUUCUAUAAAAUAGAAAGUAGUAAGAGGUGGGGCGUGCCACCCAUGGGAGGCACAUGUGGGCCCCACCUUCUAAAAACAUGGUGGGCCAAUGUGCACAAUGGGCACCCCAUGAUUAAUUUUUUUAUGCAUUUAAAAUUAACAAAAUAAUUUCUAAUGCAUAUUAAAACAUUAUAAAAUCAAUAUCUUUAAUUUUAUAAAUCCAAA